rnacentral:rRNA from 1 species
CCUACGGGAGGCAGCAGUGGGGGAUAUUGCACAAUGGGGGAAACCCUGAUGCAGCGACGCCGCGUGAGUGAAGAAGUAUUUCGGUAUGUAAAGCUCUAUCAGCAGGGAAGAAAAUGACAGUACCUGACCAAGAAGCCCCGGCUAACUACGUGCCAGCAGCCGCGGUAAGACGUAGGGUGCAAGCGUUAUCCGGAUUUACUGGGUGAAAAGGGAGCGUAGACGGUUAUGUAAGUCUGGAGUGAAAGCACGGGGCCCAACCCCGGGACUGCUUUGGAAACUGUGUAACUGGAGUACAGGAGGGGCAGGCGGAAUUCCUGGUGUAGCGGUGAAAUGCGUAGAUAUCAGGAGGAACACCGGCGGCGAAGGCGGCCUGCUGGACUGAAACUGACGUUGAGGCUCGAAAGCGUGGGGAGCAAACAGGAUUAGAUACCCCAGUAGUC